AGGGCAGCGAGGGGCGGGGCGGAGGCAGAGCGCCCGGGUGUCCCGGCAGGACAGACGCGUCUCCGCGGAACACGACGCUCCCCCAUCCCCGCGUUCACACCAGCCUUGCAGCAAGGCUUCGGGCGCUCCCCCGCAGUGUUUCCAACCCAACACUUUAAAGUCACGCCCGCCCCACCUUGGUGCUCAGGGCCCCGAUCAGCCAACUCGUAAGAACCAAACUGCCUGGGGACACUUGCCCAAACCAAGCCCUGCCUCGCCCGAGGAGGAAUGUGCCAAUGCAUAAAUUCGGUGACAAUGUGGAUACCAGAAAUGUCAUUGCAUCAAGCUUUUUAAAAGAAAUUACAACACACCAAGGUUCACGAUGCCACAUCACCCACUAAUGGAAUUACAACUGAAGCAGUGUGCCACUGGUGCCUUUUAUUUGCACACAUAGGAAAAUCUCAAUUUGCCAAAGUAAUUUAUAAUCUUCUAGCUCAGCAUUUCCUCUAUGUUCUCAGAACUGAUGACAAGUGUAUUUAGCAGGCUUCGCUGUCGUGUGUGGCACGUAUGCUCUGGAGUUGGUAGUUGGUUUGUGUUCAUUAAGUUGCAUUGUUGCGUUAAAGUAAUAUGAGAGACUAUUUCUGAAUAUUACAAAUGUUCUGUCAAACUGAACAUGUAUAGACUCUAAUAUCUUGUCUAGAGGGCAAUGUGUUUGAAAUCAAUUUUAAGAGGCAAAAUUUCCUCAACAGCUGUCAUGUUUGAGUUGUGAUCUAACAUUUACUAUAAAACAUUUCAACUUCUGUUUUCAAGCUAUACAGAUGUUUGAAGUGCCACAGCUGGGAGGGACUUGCAGGGUGCAAGUACUACUCACCAAUCUUUGCUCCCUUGAAACCUGUGGAGUUCAUUCUCCAGGGGAUCCACUCUGGUUUGAGCCAUGGAGGGAUGUGUCAGGAGGCACGGCGUUUGAUUUACUCAUGACUACCACAUUUCCUCCUCCUCUCUGAUUACUAGCACAAGCAUUCUGCAUAGGAAACUGUUCAGGGUUUGUGUGGGGUCCCAUGACGGACCAUACACAAACAAAAUAAUUCAGCCUUUGCAAUACUAGUUUGCUUCUCUUUUAGAGGCAAAAGCAAACAGGGACAGACUUGGCCCAUAAAAGGGACAGGAGACAGGCCCAGCGCAAAGCAAAAUAAUGAUAUGUUCUGCAACAAGAAGGAAUGUAGGAUAAUAACUACAAGGAACCAGCAAGCAAAGCACCCGAGGCCUGAGGCAGCAUGAGGAGGUGUCUGUAACAAUCAUGAGAGAGCAGCCCGGAGCCUUAACUUGUAAUGACUAUGUAGCCCACAUAUCAAAAGGCUCUCCCACAAACACACACAACUACAAAUACAAUGAAGCCCUUUGAAAUGAAUACUGAAUAAAGGAAUAACAUGGUUUCAAAAUAAACCUCCAGUACACCUCAAGGUAAAAUAUAAUAGAAAUCUGACCUGAUAAGCGUCUCUGCCUGUCAAAGGAAUACAUUCCAUCUGGACCAACUCAAGACGAUAUGCAGAGACAUUCACACAGCAAUUGUAAAUACAGGGAUACCAAUCAAAGGAACAGGCCUGUUCAGAAACGUGUCACAAAUCAUAUGAACUGUGUUUGGGUUUUUUAUAUUGUUUUGUAGGCUGAUAACUUCAGCUCCAAGUUUCAGUGAGGGGUAUUUUAAAACAGCCAUCAUAUAAAGCAAUGAUCAGUUCAAAAUAAGCCCCUAGAACGUUUGAAUAACUUACAAUUUUGAAGCCCCUUGACAGACCCAAAGAUUCUCCUCGUACACAUGGUAGCCCAGCUCAGGCCCUGCUUUCGCUUACCUUUGUCCUCGGAUUCAGAAGAAGGCCCAGUAUCUUCCAUCAGGGGCAUCUGGACAACUCAGUCCAAGGUGGGAUCUCACUUUCAUCUGGGGGGGGGUCUCCCAAGUGACCAUAUCCCAUACUCUUGUGUUGUACAAACAGCCCGCCGUUGGCCUUUUAAUUUUAACAAUAUCAUUGCUUUCAAAUCUAGUGCCAUCUGGCGUUUACAUCCCAGAGAGCACUGCCCUCUUAUGAAAUUCCAUCCCACAAUUUGUACAUGUAUUAUUCCAAUCCUUUUUGGUAGACCUGCUUCCUGUGAGACCUGAUAGGCAGUGGAAGGUGAUGGAGGUGAUAAGGAAAUCUGGAACCACCUGACCAAAGAGAAAAACAAAGCAAAUGAAUAAAGACAAAGGACAGGCAUUGUAUUUUUUUUUUACUUGACAGUGUUUCCAGAUUACGUCUCUUAUUCCAGGAGAAACUGCCCUUCCUUCCUUUUCUACAUUUGGAACUGAAAGACCUCAAGAAAGUUGAGCUUCUUUAAUAUCCUCCCUUCUGCCUUUCAUUAUAAAACAGUUGCAGUGCUACUACCUAUCUUUGCCGCUCCCUAGCAAGUAUUUGCCACCAGAACCUAUAAGCAGCCUUGAAACCUGACUAAAUAAACUACAAUGACAUUUCAGUCUGCAGGUGCCCCUUGUUUAUUUUGGGUUUAAACUAGCAUCUCCUGAAAAGUGCUUCCCAGUUGGAAGUUACUCCCUCAUCCAGCAGCUUUUGACAUUACAAUACCCUCCUGGUCAUUUUUUAAACUUACUGAGUAUUGGCAAUUUUCCACUGUUAGCCCAAAUAAUUGGACUUAACCUUUCAGUCUAACUUUAUGAAAUAGCGAUUGUGUCUACACAGUAUUGUGUAUUUGUUUGAGAUGAAAAAUAAAGCAUAUUCAAAGUGACAAAAUAAAUUGAUAGUUGCAAUUUACUAUAAACCUGCUAACAUUCAUCAUCUGUCUUUUCAUUAUUAUUGUGGCACUGCCUCAGAGUAAGUUGCAUUCCUACUUAUGCAAAUACAAUAUUUCCUUAUUUAUCUGCCUGUACCACAGCUGCAUUUGCCUGUAUUGUAACAUAAGACAUUCAUUUCAUCAACAGAGAAUGAUUACUAUUGUAUUUGGCUGAUUAAAAUUAGCACAAGAAAGCAAA